rnacentral:rRNA from 1 species
UACGUAGGGGGCAAGCGUUGUCCGGAUUUAUUGGGCGUAAAGAGCGUGUAGGCGGCUAGGUAGGUCCGUUGUGAAAACUCGAGGCUCAACCUCGAGACGCCGGUGGAAACCAUCUAGCUAGAGUCCGGAAGAGGAGAGUGGAAUUCCUGGUGUAGCGGUGAAAUGCGUAGAUAUCUGGAGGAAUACCGGUGGCGAAGGCGGCAUCCUGGACCGGCAUUGACGCUGAGGAGCGAAAGCUAGGGGAGCAACGGG